GCAAAAACGUUCGACGAACGGAUAAGUUCGAUCGCGUGAGAAUCUUAGUCGGGAAGGGAAGAUUUUCCCAGCCGGCACUAUCGGCGCCGAUAUGUCAGCUGAUAUAAGAGGAU
rnacentral:sRNA from 1 species